rnacentral:misc_RNA from 1 species
CGCAGCAGAAGAAACAGUCCCAAAACUGUUGGAAACAGAACAAGCAGGGCAGGAUGAAAAGGCAGAGAAUCCAAAACCAAAUGAAGAGACGGGAGGAGCGUUAGACUUUGACGAAGUGUUGAAGGAAAACGAUAAUGGGGCGGAGAAAGAAGAAGAUGAGAGCCUAGGGUUCUCGAAAGGGGAUCCAAAAGGGGAAGCGGAUGAUGAGAAAGAGAAGCCUGACAUUGUGGCGGGUCCUUUUAGCGGGGUUUUUCUUGUUUUGAAUAGAGGGUGUCUGGAGGGUUUGUUUCUUCAAUUAAUCAAAGGAUCCGAGCACGGACUAGUAAUGAACCAGAGUGGUCGAUCCCUUGGCUCUGAAAAAGAUGGUAGCACGUAGAAAGCUCACUUUUUGAGGUGAGUGCCAGGCAG